GAUGAACGCUAGCGGCAGGCUUAACACAUGCAAGUCGAGGGGUAUAGUUCUUCGGAACUAGAGACCGGCGCACGGGCGCGUAACGCGUAUGCAAUCUACCUUUUACAGGGGGAUAGCCCAGAGAAAUUUGGAUUAAUACCCCAUAGUAUGUUAGAGUGGCAUCAUUUUAACAUUAAAGUUCCAACGGUAAAAGAUGAGCAUGCGUCCCAUUAGCUAGAUGGUAAGGUAACGGCUUACCAUGGCGACGAUGGGUAGGGGUCCUGAGAGGGAGAUCCCCCACACUGGUACUGAGACACGGACCAGACUCCUACGGGAGGCAGCAGUGAAGAAUAUUGGACAAUGGGCGCAAGCCUGAUCCAGCCAUGCCGCGUGCAGGAAGACGGUCCUAUGGAUUGUAAACUGCUUUUGUACAGGAAGAGACACUCCCUCGUGAGGGAGCUUGACGGUACUGUAAGAAUAAGGAUCGGCUAACUCCGUGCCAGCCGCCGCUGUAACAC
rnacentral:rRNA from 1 species